UGGGGAAUAUUGCACAAUGGGCGCAAGCCUGAUGCAGCCAUGCCGCGUGUAUGAAGAAGGCCUUCGGGUUGUAAAGUACUUUCAGCGGGGAGGAAGGGAGUAAAGUUAAUACCUUUGCUCAUUGACGUUACCCGCAGAAGAAGCACCGGCUAACUCCGUGCCAGCAGCCGCGGUAAUACGGAGGGUGCAAGCGUUAAUCGGAAUUACUGGGCGUAAAGCGCACGCAGGCGGUUUGUUAAGUCAGAUGUGAAAUCCCCGGGCUCAACCUGGGAACUGCAUCUGAUACUGGCAAGCUUGAGUCUCGUAGAGGGGGGUAGAAUUCCAGGUGUAGCGGUGAAAUGCGUAGCGAUCUGGAGGAAUACCGGUGGCGAAGGCGGCCCCCUGGACGAAGACUGACGCUCAGGUGCGAAAGCGUGGGGAGCAAACAGG
rnacentral:rRNA from 1 species